CCGACUCUGAGGACUCUUGAGUUGAUCGACGACAUCACAGACCGGACAACGCAUGCGCAGACCCGGCUGGUCGACGAGACAGACCACAUCUCGACGGUCACUCGAAAGACCAGGACCUGGCCCUACUGGUUGGUGAUCACCCUACUCUUUGUGGCCAUAAUAAUUGUUGU